rnacentral:rRNA from 1 species
GAUGAACGCUGGCGGCGUGCCUAAUACAUGCAAGUCGAGCGAAGCGGGGACGGGUGAGUCACACGUUGAUAACCUCCUAUAAGACUGCGAUAACUUCGGGUAACCGGAGCUAAACCGGAUCCUUAUAGAUGGAUCCGCGAGGCAUUAGCGAGUUGGUAAGGUAACGGCUUACCAAGGCAACGAUGCCUAGCCGACCUGCGAGGGUGAUCGGCCACACUGGAACUGAGACACGGUACAGACUCCUACGGGAGGCAGCAGUAGGGAAUCUUCCGCAAUGGGCGAAAGCCUGACGGAGCAACGCCGCGUGAGUGAUGAAGGUCUUCGGAUCGUAAAACUCUGUUAUUAGGGAAGCGGUACCUAAUCAGAAAGCCACGGCUAACUACGUGCCAGCAGCCGCGGUAAUUC